GAAAAAAAGGAAAAGCAGUUUUACUGGAUUUACUAAAACAAUACACUUACAGUCUACUUAAUACAUUUAUGUUUAAGAUGGAAACAUAAUUUUAUUGUUUAAAUUCUAAAUGAAAUUCAACAUAAUCAUCAAAACAUGAUAUAAUCACUUUGCAAGAAAAUGUUCAAAUUGUUUCAGAUUUCAAACAAAUUGUGUUCAUGUAAAAUGAUUUUUUCCUGCUGUUUGAUUUAUUUAAUUAAAAUAAGCCCAUGUCACACAAUUACUUUGUAUUUUCUUCUCAACUUAAUUCCAUUGUGUAGGCUAUAAUUAAUCUAAUUCAGUUUUGAGAAAUAGUCGUUUGCGCGGGAGCAACGUGCGCGAGAGCGUCUGCGCAUGGGCUUUGAAAUCCAGACCACACCAGGACCGUUGGUUUGGAAAGGACACAUGAGGGGACUGACUGUAUUGUUUUCAAAGCUCUUUAAAAGUGACAUUUGGUAUUCCAAAGCCUGUUAAGACAAAUUACGAGCUAAGUCAGUCAGUUAGGCAGUUAGCCUUGUAGAAGUCGGUGAAUUAACUGAUGAAUACCUCUUGGCUGACUAUUUGACUGGACAUGUGCAGAUGGUAACGUUAAAGAGAUUUGUCUGCUGCAAAGGAUGACAUUGAUGCAGCUUGUGAACUUGCCAUCAGAGGACUGGUUAUCUAUCUUAAUGAGGACCCUAAAGAGCUCAUUCAGGAGUAUGUGGACAUGGAAGAAGAUCCAGUUUAUUUUACAGUGUGCGAUUGAGAAGACUACCAUGGGCAUCUUCCUGAUAAAGCACACUGCAGACAAUGAAGCCCAUGAUGUAGGCAUUGUGCUAGAGGGUGUAGCAGUGCUUCAGGACCUCAACAGUGUGGAUUUUGCAACUUCAAUGUUGUUUGGUCUAAUUUAUGCUCUUAACCUGCAGUACCCCACAAAGUUGCGUUUUACAUAUGAAAUUUACCAAAAACUCAUCAUGGACUUGGA